AGAGAUUUAAGUUAUUCAAACUAAUAGCCUUCAAAGCUUUAAUCGGUCCCAAACCAAUCUCUG
rnacentral:tRNA from 1 species